rnacentral:misc_RNA from 1 species
CCGAGUGAGGGCCUCCGGGUCUGACCUCCCACCCUUUGAUGUUACCAACUCUGUUGCUUUGGGGGCGACCCGGCCGCCGCGCCGGGGCCCCAGGGGAUCAAACCAAUACUCUGCGUCGAUGCAUCGGAGUUUGAAGGGAAAUUCUUAAUCA